AUAAAAAUUAAUUUUGAAAUAUGUGUGAUCACUUUGCGUUUAUUUGUUAACACACAUAAACUGGGAUGGCUGGGAUGUUUGCUGGAAAUGUUUGUUGGUUGUGGACUGUAUUGUAUUUUAUUUUCGUAUAUGUAUAAGUUUCACGAAUAUGCAAAUGUGGAUAUGUAAAAUUAUUAUUUUAAAUUAUGUACGUAUGUGAAUAAUUUUCUGGAAUGUACGUAAGUGAAUAUAUUUUCGGAAAUGUACGUAUGUAAAUAUGUUUCUGGAAUGUACGUAUGUAAAUAUGUUUCUGGAAUGUACGUAUGUGAAUAUAUUUUGGAAUGUACGUAUGUGAAUAUGUACAUAAAAAAUGGAAAUGGAAAAAAAACCCCGUGGAGUCGCAAAAUGGCGAUCGGUUGGAAAUAGUAAAACCGUACUUAUCUUUUUAUUCUUGAAAUUGAAGAAAAUCCACCGGUGCCGCUGGAAAUCGCAGAUCGAUCCGGCUCGAAGGACCAAAAAUUGAAAAGCUGGGGGGGUUGGCGGAUUUCUGCCCUUGGAGGAUGCUGGUGGAAAUGGCGACUCGCUGGGUUCUUUUUAUUUAAAUGUGAACUUUAUUUCAGAUAACUUAUUUCACUUAACUUGCACAACUUCACUUUGUGGCUUCGAAAUUAGAACUCACUUACUCUACUUAAAUCUAAUGCUAGGAGAGCGGGGGUGGAGACUGUUAACAGACCGAGAGCGAGAUGAGAGUUCAUCUGGACAUUACUGCUCUCGACUGUUAACGAAUAAUUUCGACAGUGUCCCCUCCUUGGCGCGGACACAAGGAAAUUCAAUUACUAAGCGAUGUACUGGAAUUAUUGGAGCAACGUGUGAGUUUUCUUAGCUCAGCACUAAAUGAUGAAAAGAAAGUUUUUAAAAAAGUGGCGACACCUAAUCCUUUUGAUGAACUAGCUGCUAUUGAUGGGGAAAAAAGUGUCCAGGAGAGACAAGAUACGAUUCCUGCAUCUACAUUAGUUGAGGCUGAUAAUACCGCCCUUAAUCCGGACCAUUCUCCUGUAACAACUUGGUGAUACUAUUUCGGAUUUUAAUCCAUCUGAUAAGCAAGCUGCUAUUAAAGGGGAAAAUAGUGUCCAAGAGGAUCAAGAUUCGGUUCUAGCUUCGUCCUCGGUUACCAGCUGCAAUUGAUGAGACCCUCCAGGCUCCAUAUUCUUUUGGUAAGCCUGAUGCUAUUGAUGGGGAAAAUAGUGUCCAAGAGGAUCAAAAUUCGGUUCUAGCUUCGACCUCGGAUUUUUCUGUUAACGAUUGAAGAUCCCAUUCCGUCUUUGGAUCCUUCUGAUGAAAUUUUCGCUGACGAGGGUCGCAUCCAAUCUUCUGAUCCUGAUUCACUUGCCGUGGACACCAGCGGUGUAUCAAUGAACUUUACGAAUAAAUCAAAGGAUGAUUCCAGCCAUAUGAGUGAACUUGGGCAUCAGAUGGAUUAGAGGGUUCAAAAUAUAGCUCUCCCGCCGAGGGCAAAUCAGAUGCGGUCUCUGCGUAGGCCAUAGAUAAGAAUAGAAUACGAAUCACACCAAUGUUACUUGUUAAGAAACUUCAUGAAAAAGAGACAGUUUGAAGAAGAUGAUUGCAUUAAAAUAUAGACGUCUUUUAUUCUAUCGCA